UACGUAGGGCGCAAGCGUUGUCCAGAAUUAUUGGGCGUAAAGAGCUCGUAGGUGGCGUGUCGCGUCUGCCGUGAAAGCCCAUGGCUUAACUGUGGGUCUGCGGUGGAUACGGGCAGGCUGGAGGCUGGUAGGGGCAAGCGGAAUUCCUGGUGUAGCGGUGAAAUGCGCAGAUAUCAGGAGGAACACCGGUGGCGAAGGCGGGUCUCUGGGCCGAUACUGACGCUGAGGAGCGAAAGCCAGGGGAGCAAACGGG
rnacentral:rRNA from 1 species